rnacentral:lncRNA from 1 species
UGAGUGUCAGUGGUUAAUCUCUAACGUUCGGUAGUGGAAUUGGUCCUUUGACUUGAGGUCGUCAUAGUACCUUAUAUGAGGACAGUCAUACUUUGGCGGUGUUGGAUGUUGCUCUGAAAAGGGCCGCUAAUACGAUAUCGUUCGGGUACGUCAAGAACCGUAUGAAGGUUGUGAUUGAUCAAUAAAGGAUUCGUCACUCUUAGAUAGUAGGAGAUUAUGAUCUGCGUUUCAUUCAAUUAAGUCGAUGAUGAAAUCCUUGGCCAAGGUGUACUCAUAAGUCGAAAAGGAGUUUUCGACUUAUAUUGACUUAAUAGUGGAGUGAAAGAUAUGAUCGAUGAUCGAAUUGACACAACUCCAUAUCUCGCAAUUGAUCGGAUCAUAUUGACGAAGGGAUUAUAGUUUCACGGUAAACGAACGAAUUUGGUUUUGUCAUACCACGUGACAUUUCCCGUCACAUGUAUUGCCCUGACACAUUGCUAGAUGUCAAUCAGGGACGGCGAAUGUGAAUUGACGAUAAAUUAAAAGGGUGUUUUAAUUUAUCAAUUUUGAUUAGAUCAAAAUAAUAUUUCACGUCGUUAGGCAUCGUGGUCGGGAACCUAAUGGGUCACACACAAAAGAGAAUUGGAAGAUUGCAAAUUGUCAAUUAGUUAAUUUAACAAUCGUUGGAUAAAUUAAUUAAUUGGAUUUGUUAUUUAUAUUUUCGAAUUAAUUAAUUAGAUUAAUUAAUUCACGGACCGGGUUUAAUUAAUUGGAUUAAUUAAUUAUUGGACCGGACCGGGCCGAGCCUGUUUGGGUUUAUAUAAAUACAUAACUAGGGUUUGAGGUCCAUUAAGGUUUUCAUUAUUCUUGCUAGCACAAGAGAAAACCCUAGAGGCUGCAAUCAUAUUCUCUAUGUGGAUCACCGUUGGAGGCUGGACAAUUGGACAGCUGUGGUGGCAAAUCAAAGUUG